GUCUCAGUGUUACCAUGACGCUGUCUGGAGACUGGAGGAGUCACCAGGUCCUCUUCCUUGUCCAGUGUUACCAUGACUCUGUCUGGAGACUGGAGGAGUCACCAGGUCCUCUUCCUUGGCUCAGUGUUACCAUGACUCUGUCUGGAGACUGGAGGAGUCACCAGGUCCUCUUCCUUGUCUCAGUGUUACCAUGACUGUCUGGAGACUGGAGGGAGGAGGUCACCAGGUCCUCUUCCUUGUCUCAGUGUUACCAUGACUGUCUGGAGACUGGAGGGAGGAGUCACCAGGUCCUCUUCCUUGUCUCAGUGUUACCAUGACUGUCUGGAGACUGGAGGAGGAGUCACCAGGUCCUCUUCCUUGUCUCAGUGUUACCAUGACUCUGUCUGGAGACUGGAGGAGUCACCAGGUCCUCUUCCUUGUCUCAGUGUUACCAUGACUCUGUCUGGAGACUGGAGGAGUCACCAGGUCCUCUU
rnacentral:lncRNA from 1 species